rnacentral:lncRNA from 1 species
GAGGGUCUUCCAUGCUCGGUCGACCACAGCCAGCCCCAUUAGGGGACCGACUCUCCAUUAUUGUGCUUGAAUAGGUAACUCGUUGAGACACUAUGAGCGUUGUAUUCAAUGUGUUGUCAUUGAUGUAAGCAAGUAGCUAAUAAUUAGUUAUACAGAGAAUUUGACAGGUAAUAGCACACUAUCCCACGAGAAAACAAAGUAGUGGUAUAAUAAAAGCAGACAAAAGUGGUAUAAUGAUAGAUCCUGCGCCUCGAUAUGCUUUUUAAACCCCGGUAUCCCGAGUAGAUCCCCAAAAACGAUAAGUAGUUGAAUCAAAUAGAUUAAGGCAUCCCAAUUCCAGACCAACCCAAGCCUCCGCUCCAAAAAUCAGUAAAUGUAUCCGCCAAAGCCCGUAAUAAUGCCGAAGAGUUAUGUAGUUGAACAA